rnacentral:miRNA from 1 species
CCGCAGCGAAUUGAUAAGGCGCGGAUGUGUUCGUGCACGGCCACUUUGUCAAUCCACUGCUGGAUGA